rnacentral:lncRNA from 1 species
AAGUGAGAACAAGCAUUGAAAUGGCACUGUUGUAGCUGACAUUGCAAGAUAUUAUGUGUCAGAUAUGCUAAACGUAUCUAAACAUACUGAGAAGACAGUCCUGGCUUCAAAGAGCUUACAGUCUAAGUUUUCACUAACUAAGAGGGGAAUGGAUCCAGUUCUCAUGUUUUGACAGAUUUUUCCUAGUUGUUUUAGACUCUCUUCUGGAGAGACCUGUCCAAAUUCUGAGGCUAUGGCAGAAUAGAAGCCUGGCUUAUUGGCAUUAACACUUUGAUCUUCUCAUCUCCUUUUUCAUUUGUUUCAGGUCAUUGGUAAACCAUGGUGAUCUGUAAGAGAUGGUGUAUGUGUAAGGGGGCAACUAGGGACCAAUGCGUUCUUAGCUGUGGACAGCAGAUGUCUUAAUAGCCUACCAGUACAUCAAUAUCAUGGUCCACUGGUUAGCCGUUUGUCUCAGAGCAUUCCAGAAUGCCCCAUUUGUCUCCAAAGAUGGACCACUGCAGUUUGCCCAUCUCCAAGACUAGGUAGAACAGGACUGGGAUAUAGGCAUAUUGCUACUUACCUGCAUAAUAAGGAUGUUAUAAAUCUUAAUUCAUUAAAGUUUGUAGAACAUUUUGAGGUCCAUGGAUGGAAGGUGCUGUCCUAGUGCAAAGUACUUUAUUUACCAUGAUGAUUGAUUGGUUUAUUAAACUGACAAAAGCUAGAACAAAGAACAUUAUGUUUGUCGUACUAUCUUUAGUGUACAUUGUGCCAUUUUCUCUUUUCUUCUUUGAAGCAGCAUUAGUUAAGAAUAGUGUCAGUGCUAAAAUGAAAAAAAAAAUUAAUUUAAUAUUAAGGGUCUCACUUAAUUUUCAACAGGUUUUAAUUGAAUUCAAGCACCCUGGUUAUGAUUUUUUUUCAAAUAUUGCAUAAAUUACUUUAUUAAUAUAUAAUUUCUAUUGACUAAUUUUUGAAUCAUAUGUUGAUGAAAUCAUCUGCUCUGAUCUUGGCUAAUGCUUCAGAGCUUCUCGACCUUUAAACAAUGAACGAAAUGCGUCUCAAUUAUGAUCAGUUUGGGGUUGACUUAACCCUUUGAAUACCACGUACUUCAGAAUAUGAGUGACAAAUUAUUAUGAAUAAAUCAUAAUGAAGUGUUUGAUCUUUUGAGCCA